AAGUUUGAGAGGCGCGGGGACCAAAUUUUCAUUCCCCCCAACACUAAGUCACUUUGUCUGAAAGUUUCGAACCCUAAUAGAUUCUCCCCUUCUUCGCAUCCCUGACCUCAACUCAUUCUCCUCCUCCAUCUCCGCCUUCGACUAUCACCUAUCUCUCUCGCUCCCUUGUCUUUCCAGACCCGACUCUCUCUCUCUCCCUCUCCCUCUCCCUCUCUCUCUGUCUCUGAAUCUCACAUUCUCUCUCUAAAACCCUCUCCAUCUCUCUCUGAAACUGACGUUGAUGAAGUCUAUGUAGCUGCUCCACAAUUUCUUACGGGAGACGAUGGAGCCACCCCAGUCAACAAACCCUAGUCCGGCAAGCCUCCGUAAAAGCAUAAAGCCUCCAAGGAGAACGAGUCUCCGCCUUCAGAUCUCCUCUAUACGGCCUUGGAUUUGAAGCUUUCGCUGGCGACCAAGUUGAAUAGUCUGUUGCCGCCACGGCCACAGCCAUUAAAUCCUCGAAAAACGGAAGCUUGAGAUGCUUCCUGAGAACUGCGUCCAUGGAGCCUCUGAUUCCGGCGUCCAGAGAACGCGCAAAAAAUCAGAAUUGGAAGAAAAAAGAAAACAAAGACAAAGAAGAAGAAGGAGAAGAGCGUGUCAACACAACACAAAACCCAUCAUCAUCCUCCUCAUCCUCGUCUCUGCACACUUGCCUCCAUACAAACCCCAUCUCCAUUUCUUGUCCACCGUGCUCCAAUUCCAAUCCCCCAUUUUUUGUUUUGUUGUUGUUAUUAUUGUUAUUAUAAUAUUAAGCUCCACAUCAAGACAGCCAUGACAGGCAAGGAAAUCCUCUACAAGAUGAAGCACUAUCGCUGGUUACAUUGAAAACAGUUUUGAUGCUUGCAGAUCAAUUAGUAAAUUAACAGAGUCGAGUACAUGCACUCGAGAGGUUUCCUUCAUCGUGAUAUAAAACCUGACAACUUUUUAAUGGGCCUAGGGCGUAAAGCCAAUCAGGGGAGAGAAGACAAUGUCACUGUUGGAGAGUGGGCUAAAGGUGAAGGAGUAUGAGCUUUUGCUUAAGAACUUCAGUGAUACUGGUUGCAUUGGAUUCGGUAUUCAGGAGCAUAUCGAUCUUGGAAUUAAAUCCCUCUUUCUCAUAUAUCUGAAAAUGUUUAUAAGACAUCAGUUGACUGGAUCGGCCAUCGCUCCACUGAAGCCCUUGGUUCCUUCGUGUUGUGGUCACUAGAUUGCAUUCUUGCUGACCUUGCAAGUUAUCAGGGAGCAGCAAUGGGAUCCAAAAAGGUGGUCCAGCAACCUUCAAGAUGUCAGAAGGUAGGAGCCUCCGUCAAUUGCAGAUUGCGUUGUGCCUACAAAAUUAUUCAGAUUCGGAAAUCCUCCUCAUGUGUUCUACUUCGCUCUCUGCUGAGGCACCGGAUCUUGUGAAAAAUCUGAGUGGACGGUAAAGGCUCGGAAAGGAUACACCUGACAACAACUUGACGAGGUGCGCAUUGAAGUGGCCGACUACUUACAGACUUUGUUGUAGAUUCUGACUAGUUUCUUGGUUUUGAGUAAGACUAGCUUUCGUUUAACCUUUUUGUAGUAGAUGAAGUAUUAGUAAUUGGUAGGCUAGCCUUGUAGUAGGUUAAUUGGGGUUUUAUUUUGCCUAUUUUGUAAAUUGUCAAGGAUGAUGAUUUUGAACAGAAUACCCCAAUACUCAAAUAUUCACUCUUGUCAACUGUGGGUACUGCAUUUUAUAGUAGCAGCUAUAUAUUUUGUAGA